rnacentral:misc_RNA from 1 species
GAUGAGAACGCAGCGAAAUGCGAUAAGUAAUGCGAAUUGCAGAAUUCAGUGAAUCAUCGAAUCUUUGAACGCACAUUGCGCCCGCCAGUAUUCUGGCGGGCAUGCCUGUCUGAGCGUCGUUUCGACCCUCGCGCCCGGCUUCUGUCGGGGGCGGUGUUGGGGAUCGGCCACACCCUUCAGUGGGAGGCCGGCCCCUAAAUUCAGUGGCGACCACGCUGUAGCCUCCCCUGCGUAGUACUAAAACCACCUCGCAGGCGGAGAGCGGUGCGGCCCGCCGUAAAACCCCCCAACUUUUACAAGGUCGACCUCAGAUCAGGUAGGAAUACCCGCUGAACUUAAGCAUAUCAAUAAGCGGAGGA